rnacentral:rRNA from 1 species
AGUGGACGCUGGCGGUAGGCCUAACACAUGCAAGUCGAACGGCAGCACAGUAAGAGCUUGCUCUUACGGGUGGCGAGUGGCGGACGGGUGAGGAAUACAUCGGAAUCUACUUUUUCGUGGGGGAUAACGUAGGGAAACUUACGCUAAUACCGCAUACGACCUACGGGUGAAAGCAGGGGAUCUUCGGACCUUGCGCGAUUGAAUGAGCCGAUGUCGGAUUAGCUAGUUGGCGGGGUAAAGGCCCACCAAGGCGACGAUCCGUAGCUGGUCUGAGAGGAUGAUCAGCCACACUGGAACUGAGAGACGGUCCAGACUCGUACGGGAGGCAGGAGUGGGGAAUAUGGGAGAAGGGGCGAAAGCCUGACCCAGCCAUACCGCGUGGGGGAAGAAGGCCUUCGGGUUGUAAAGCCCUUUUGUGGGGAAAGAAAAGCAGCAGGUUAAUACCCCGCUGUUCUGACGGUACCCAAAGAAUAAGCACCGGCUAACUUCGUG